rnacentral:sRNA from 10 species
CCAGGGAUUUCAUCCCUGGCUAAUAUAUUUCGUGCUUUCAGCACU